GUAUGGGAUGGAGGGACGAUUUGGGAAGGCAGCUGAGCCGCAGUUCUGCAAGGGGCCAGGCUUCAGGGAAAUGGCGGUGGCCGGUGUGAUGUCCUGCUGCUGGUGGCGACCGAGAGGAACCGGUGGCAGCGAGUCCCGAGCCUGCUGCCGCCGCGAGGGUGCAUUUACAGGGUGCUUUCACGGCGCUCCCUGUGUGGGGACUGGUGCUAACCCAUGUUCUGAUUUAACCAAAAGGCACUUGACCAUCCUUACAGAACUGAUUCAGAAGGUGAUUCUGUCACUUGAGUACUAUCUGGAAGCAACUCAUCAUGCAUGCUUUGUGGAAUCAGUGCUCAAAGUGAAAUGCAGAAAAAUGCAGACUGUCACAGGACAUGCUGCUUAUCGGUACUCCAGGGAGAACAAGGGAUGUUAGAUAAAAGAUAUCUUUGACCCCACCCAGUUUACCACACCACAUUUCAUUGUCAGGUCUCCUCUCGGCUGUGGCACUUGGUCAGAUUUUCUGUGUUCACAAUGACCGUGGCGGUUUUAAGGAUCAUCGGUCCUGUUGUUUGCGGAAUGCCCCUGUAUUGACGUUUGUCUGAGGUUUUUCUGAAGGUUGUGUUGCUUUCUGCCUGAUUCCAGUCGCUCUGCUGCUAGUCAUCUGUUCGUGAGAUCCAUUUCAAACUGGUGAAGAAGGAAGAAUCGGCCCUGAAAGAGGUUGAUUUUGAGGAGAAGAUUUUAAGUCGUCUGUGUCAGCUCGAGCUAUGGGAUGAGGAGGAUAAAGGCCACACUCCACAGUGAGCCGUAUGCUGUCUAUGAAGUUCAUUACUAUUUCGUGGCCCAGAAGAGUGUGCAGCAGUUGAUUUUGAAUCAGAACAACUACAGGAGGAACAUGUGGGAGGAAAGCCGUGGCCGUCGGCAUUGAAGAACUCCAGGGGACUCUCCACGACACUGAGACUCCGCCGCACUGCAGGGAAGGAGAUUUCGGGAAAGGAGGCGAUCCACACCACAAUUCCUGGGGCGAGGCAGUUCCGAAUGCGGCGCUCGCUGCUGCCGAGUAGGCGUCCACACGUCCACACGUGCACCAUGCUUCCUUCUUUGGAAAUACUUGAUUUGUCUCAGUGUUGAUAACGGAUCAGAAAUACAGGUUUGACAGAAGACGACUGUAGUCGUGAGCUCUGUGAGCAAAGUCAUGGGUUUGUUCUCCUCCAGGUUACGCUCUCAGGUUGCGUGUGAAAGAUGGGGUCGUAGAGUCUUUCCUAGAUGUUUAUUUCCUGGUCCUAUAAAAUGGUUAUACUGAGUGUUUUCUAUCACUUAAUAAUAUACUUUUGGACUGAAAGAUACGUGCUACAUGAGUGCAGCUAAUUACAUUCAACUAGUGUAUCUGCCUUUCUUGUGUCAUCAGACUGAAUAGAACAAAUUUUGAAUGAUUUUGUAAAGAAAAUACUUGAAUUCAUUUUGUUUGGUACUGUGAUUUUAUUCCAUAAAGCAUUCUAUUAGUGGUAAGCAUUCAGUGGAGCCUUCUGCUA